rnacentral:rRNA from 1 species
AGCGGCGGAUGGGUGAGUAACACGUGGGGAACCUGCCCCUAAGUCUGGGAUACCAUUUGGAAACAGGUGCUAAUACCGGAUAAUAAAGCAGAUCGCAUGAUCAGCUUUUGAAAGGCGGCGUAAGCUGUCGCUAAGGGAUGGCCCCGCGGUGCAUUAGCUAGUUGGUAAGGUAACGGCUUACCAAGGCGACGAUGCAUAGCCGAGUUGAGAGACUGAUCGGCCACAUUGGGACUGAGACACGGCCCAAACUCCUACGGGGGGCAGCAGUAGGGAAUCUUCCACAAUGGACGCAAGUCUGAUGGAGCAACGCCGCGUGAGUGAAGAAGGUUUUCGGAUCGUAAAGCUCUGUUGUUGGUGAAGAAGGAUAGAGGUAGUAACUGGCCUUUAUUUGACGGUAAUCAACCAGAAAGUCACGGCUAACUACGUGCCAGCAGCCGCGGUAAUACGUAGGUGGCAAGCGUUGUCCGGAUUUAUUGGGCGUAAAGCGAGCGCAGGCGGAAAAAUAAGUCUAAUGUGAAAGCCCUCGGCUUAACCGAGGAACUGCAUCGGAAACUGUUUUUCUUGAGUGCAGAAGAGGAGAGUGGAACUCCAUGUGAAGCGGUGGAAUGCGUAGAUAUAUGGAAGAACACCAGUGGCGAAGGCGGCUCUCUGGUCUGCAACUGGCGCUGAGGCUCGAAAGCAUGGGUAGCGAACGGGAUUAGAUACCCUGGUAGUCCAUGCCGUAAACGAUGAGUGCUAAGUGU